rnacentral:tRNA from 1 species
GCGGAAGUAGUUCAGUGGUAGAACAUCACCUUGCCAAGGUGGGGGUCGUAGGUUCGAAUCCCGUCUUCCGCUCCA